ACAUAUCAUUGCAGGUUUUCUGACAAUGCAUCCUAGGGUAUCCUAGACCUUGAGUAACAGAAUUGUUUAUAUCAAGAAGGCUGAGAAAACACCAGAAUCUGCAUGUGAUGUGUACCCAAGCAGACUUUGAGAGUCAUCUCAUUUCACCUUUUAAUUUGGAAGAUAAUUUGGCCAGAGGAGAGUGGAUCGUAGUCACUUAAUCAGAAC
rnacentral:lncRNA from 1 species